UGGAGCUGGAGCUUGGGCCUCUGAAGAGUGGAUGCCGCUUGCUAGUGCUGAUGUCUCUGAGCUCAAAGGAGUCUGAGGCUCAGACUCUGAGAAGCCUGGUGUCCACAUUUUGGAGGGCAGUGCAACCAAGCUGGUUCUGAAGUGUUUGGGAGAACUGUCACCUGGAUUCUUCCACUGCAAUGGGAAGGAACUGCCACUGCCAGAGUGAAGAAGCGGUGUUGGGUGACACUCACAGGACUAGGACGCGGACAGGAAAGAGAGGAUAAGGUGAGAUUCCUUCACAAAUGGUGGCUCCAACUGGAAUUCAUUGUCCCAAAUUCUGAGAACUCCUGAGGAAAGAUCCAAAAGUAAUAUGGCUCAAGAUUUUUGAACUGCCCAGGCUCUACUCAGGCUCUUGGACAUCUUGCCCAUCUCAAAGGUGUCUGUUCCCCAGCCCUGUCUUUGACUGGUCUCAUUGCUGGGUGGCAUCUUUAACAGAGAGUGUGCAAGAGCCAUUGGCAGCAAUCUCCUGUGUGGUUGGAGCCUAGCAGUUUACAAGGAGCUUCCCUACACAUUGUAUCACAAUGACCUUGCCAGGUCUCUCCUGCCUACUGCCGGCCCUACCCACAAGAUGUGAACUUCAGAGCCUUCUUGCAACUGCUUCUUGGCUAUUUUCACCCUCUAACCCUCUGGAAGAAGAAUGAGGACUAUUAUGAAGGCAAAAGCAUAAAAGGGGAAAAGAUUAGCCUCCAGAGUAGGAAGAUUGGGUUGUUGGAAGCCAGCACAAGUCUUCCCCUGAAAGAGUUAAUUCGCCUCCAAUGGGGGUAGGGACUGACCUGGGAGGGGCCUCAGCCUACAUAGGACAGGCCUAAAGGCCCCAUUGGGGCUGAAGGUGACACUGGGUCAGAUCCCUAGGAUUCUGCAACUUGAGGUGGGAGUGUCUAUAAGCUGGAAACAAAAGUUUCAAAAAAAAAAAAAAAGCUCAUUUUGUUUUCAAUUCGUUUUA
rnacentral:lncRNA from 1 species